ACCCGCUGAACUUAAGCAUAUCAGUAAGCGGAGGAAAAGAAACUAACUAGGAUUCCCCGAGUAGCGGCGAGCGAAAGGGGAGAAGCCCAGCGCCGAAGCCCGCGGCCUCCGGUCGCAGUGCAAUGUGGCGUUUCGGCUGCGGCUCGCCUCGACUUCUCUGGCACGCGUACCUCUGAACGGGUCUGCCCGCAGCGGGUGUCAGGCCUCUACUUGCCGAGAGUCGUCGUGGCCCGCCGUAGCCGCGGAGUCGGGUUGCUUGAGAGUGCAGCCCAAAGUGGGUGGUAAGCUCCAUCUAAGGCUAAAUACCUAGUGCGAGACCGAUAGCAAACAAGUACCGUGAGGGAAAGUUGCAAAGAACUUUGAAAAGAGAGUUCAAGAGUACGUGAAACCGUUCAGAGGCAAACGGACGGAACCGACCGAGUUCGUCGCGGCCAUUCAGCCGUCGCCCCUCCCCGGGCGGCGGUGCACUUGGCCGCGGCGGAGCACGACGACCGCCUGCCGGCGUCGUCAUAAGCCCGGCGGCAAGGUGACGAAGCGCUCGUCGCUUCGUGUUACAGGCCGCCGAGGCGUCGACCGACCUGGCGGGCGAGGAGCGUCCGCCGCGCCCUCCCGUCUCGCGCGGGAGCCGUCCGACCCGGUGGGCUCGCGGCGUCCGGCGUCGAACUGCUCGCAGUUCGGCGUCGCGUUCGUCGCUUGUCGCGCCGGGCGGUGCGGCCGGGUGCGCAGCGUCCCGGUCGUGUGGCGUCGGUAUUCCGUCUGACCCGUCUUGAAACACGGACCAAGGAGUUGAGCGUGCACGCGAGUCACUGGGCUCUCGAACCCCAACGGCGCAGCUAAGGCAAAACGGGUGUGAUCCGGCGUCUCGUGGCGUCGGCGCAACACCGGCCCGCGGCCGACUCGAGGAGUGGCCGCGGCGCGAGAGCGUGCACGCUCAGACCCGAAAGGUGGUGAACUAUGCUUGAGCAGGGCGAAGCCAGAGGAAACUCUGGUGGAGGCUCGCAGCGAUCCUGACGUGCAAAUCGGUCGUCAAACUUGAGCAUAGGGGCGAAAGACUAAUCGAACCGCCUAGUAGCUGGUUCCCUCCGAAGUUUCCCUCAGGAUAGCUGGCACUCACAAUCAAUGGUUUUAUCCGGUAAAGCGAAUGAUUAGAGGCAUUGGGGGCGAAACGCCCUCAACCUAUUCUCAAACUUUAAAUGGGUAAGAAGCGCGACCCUUCCUGAGCGGGGUCGCGUGCCAGAACAGAGAGUGCCCAGUGGGCCGUUUUUGGUAAGCAGAACUGGCGCUGUGGGAUGAACCAAACGUGCGGUUAGGGUGCCUAACGCACGCUCAUGAGACACCACAAAAGGUGUUGGUUGAUAUAGACAGCAGGACGGUGGCCAUGGAAGUCGGAAUCCGCUAAGGAGUGUGUAACAACUCACCUGCCGAAUCAACUAGCCCUGAAAAUGGAUGGCGCUUGAGCGUGCGACCCAUACCGCACCGUCGGGGCAACGCGUGCGAAAUGCCAGGCCCCGAUGAGUAGGAGGGCGUGUCGGUGGCGUAGAAGCGUUGUGCGCGAGCACGCGUGGAGCCGCCUUCAGUGCAGAUCUUGGUGGUAGUAGCAAGUAUACAAAUGAGAACUUUGUAGACCGAAGUGGAGAAGGGUUCCAUGUGAACAGCAGUUGGACAUGGGUCAGUCGGCCCUAAGAGAUCGGAGAAUUCCGUUCUGAACGGGGUAUGGAGCACGCGUGCCAGGCGUCUGACUCGCUCGCACUCGACCGGUUGCUACCCGAUCGCAUCGUAGCCGGAGCCGAGGAGAGCCAGCGCGCCGACCGUAUGUACGCGUCGCGAUAACCUAAGAUCCCCGAUGCGAUCGAAAGGGAAUCGGGUUAAUAUUCCCGAACCUGGCGGCGGAGAUUGGGCCCUCGGGCCCCAGUGCGGUAACGCAACCGAACUCGGAGACGCCAGCGUCGAUCCCGGGAAGAGUUCUCUUUUCUUUGUUAGGAGCGGACUCCCUGGAAUUGGCUUGUCCAGAGAUAGGGACGUUGCAUCCGUAAAGCGUCGCGCCUCACGCGGCGUCCGGUGCAUCGGCGUUGGCCCUUGAAAAUCCGAGGAAGGCAGUGUAAUUUUCGCCCCAGGCCGUACCCGAAUCCGCAGCAGGUCUCCAAGGUGAACAGCCUCUGGUCGAUAGAACAAUGUAGGUAAGGGAAGUCGGCAAAUCCGAUCCGUAACUUCGGGAUAAGGAUUGGCUCUGAGGUGCGGGCUGUUUCGGGUCGCGGCAAGAAGCGGACCGCGCGUUGGUUGGACUGGACGCGCUCGCGCGCGUUCGGACCGCCGCCAGCGCGCGUCCGUGGGAGGCCGUGGCUUUCGCCGGCGUGGGCCUCGCGUCCGCGUCGGCUUCGUUCGGCCUAAACGCACGGCACAGAACUGUCGCGGACAUUGAGAACACGACUGUCUAAUUAAAACAAAGCAUCGCGAUGGCCGCUGGUCGGUGCUGACGCGAUGUGAUUUCUGCCCAGUGCUU
rnacentral:rRNA from 1 species